rnacentral:tRNA from 1 species
GGACGUUAACAGACAAUAAUAGAGGCAGGAGGUCAAUCUCUUAAUCAGCGGGUCGGAGGUUCGAGUCCUCCACGGUCCACCA